ACACCCCAGGCAGCCUCUGGCAGGUCUUUCCAACAGCCGAGGCCUGGUGACUUCUAACAACUGCAGAUGUCCAGAAAGCUGGGAAUUGACCUGAAGUAAAUUCAACAGAAUACCAUUAAAAACAGGGAG
rnacentral:lncRNA from 1 species